CAGAGCUGGGAACAAACACCCACUUCAGCACCGCAGGCAGAACAGCAGCCUGAGGAACGCGGCGCUGCCCGCCCGGCCUGUCCGCACCCCCGGCCGCAGGCAGGCGGCUGCAGACCCGCGGCGGGGUGCGUAGAGGGGGGACCGAGGUCUUCUCAAAGCACGGAAAAUAGCUUCAUCUUUCUUUUUCUCUUCUAUGAGGGGUGGCUGUUUGUACACGCGGCUUGCAUUAUUGCAGUGGCAAGUAUACAUACAUCCCUAGAAACGGCUCCUUCCAGCAUCUCUCUACUACAACCUGCUGUAGAGAACCAGCGGUAUGACAGGUUAGACCGGAAAAUCAUUUCCCUACCAGCUGGCGGAGUUAAAAACCACGUUCGCGACCACCGCAUCAACCCCGCACGGCCACACCGACGGCAUCGCUCCAGCCUCCUCAGUCUGACACAAACAAGGGGUUUUUUUUUCUUUGGCUGUUUUUUUUUUUGUUUGGUUUUGUUUGGUUUUUUCUUUUUUUUUUUUUUUUUUCCCUGCCGCUUCCAGCACCGGUGACCCACGGCGGCCGCAGACGAGCACCGGAUCGCGGAGCGGGCUCCGUCCCCGCUUUGCAAGGCGCCUGGCCGGUCGGGGAGCGCAGCGAGAGGUUAUUUCCCUUAGCGAUCAGCAGCACAGGCGGUGCAAAAAGGGGAGGGGAAAAAAGAAAAAAGCAACAACCCACCCAAACAAACCCAAAACAAACCACAACAACUCUAAUUAAUAAUAAGAAUAAUAAUCACAGAACGAGCGAGCGCAGCAACUUGCUUUGACUCGCAAACCCCGAAGGCGGUAGGUGCGAAGAGGGCAGCCCCCCGGGGAAGGGCAGGCGGGGCGGCGGAGGGCGGCAGCGGGGCUCGCAGCCCCCCGGGACGGCCGGGGGUACCGGCGGGUCCGGCGGCGGCGGCGGCGGCGUCACGUGAAAGUCCCCUUUAAGUUUCCAUAGAGAGGCCUCCGGGUGUCACAUGAUGGACAUGAUAUAAUGAAACAACAUUGUGGGGAGGGAAGCACUAGGGGAGCCCGGGGCGGCUGGGAGGCGGCGGGGCAGCGGUGCCCCCCGCCCCGGCCCGCCCUGCCCCUGCCCCGGCCCGCCCGCCGCUCCGCGCCGCCCGCCGCGCUUGCACCUGUCUCAGCGCCCGGGAGCGCAGCGGGAGCGCGGCAGAUGUGGCAGCCCCGCUGAUGGGGCUGCGUGUGGCACCCUCCCCCGGGGGAGGAGAGCCGGCGGAGCAGCGGCCGCUCUCGGAGGUUUUCACGACCGUUCUGUUACUCUGCUGCAGCCAAUGCGGAUCCGAAUGCCGUGGCUACAAAGGCUUGUUACUCUCUCAUGCUGGAUCCCUCAAAUCCAAGAGCUACUUGGCAGUUUCCAAGGCAACCACCUGUGGAAUAAUUAAAAAGGAUGAAGUGUUAGUGUGCCAGAUAUAAGGAAUUCUUGCCUGGAGAGAGCACUUCAUUUUCACGUGUCUUGAAGAAUCAAAUGUGUUUCUGCCAGCAAAGUUAAGAAGAAGAAAUGGUGACUGAGUUGUACAAAUGAACCGGGACAAUCCAAAAAGUGACUCAAAGCGGGAGCUAGCAGAUGGCUGCAUCGUUAGCUGGUGGCCACAGCCUUACGAGAUGAGUUUUGGAAUUUCCAUCAAAGUCGGGAUUAGGCUCAGGAUACGCCAGUGGCACAGAGCACCCCGGGGGAGUGUGGAAGAAGAGGAAAUCAUUCAUAGCGACUCAUCUUGUGGUUGGGUGAGUCAGGGGUCUGCUGGUGGUGGUCAGAAAGGCACGUGGCUGACUACACCGUCUUUGUGUGCUCUGCAGGAUGCAAACUGUCGCUGAAAAUUAAUUCUGCCCCUUUGAUUUUUGUCCGGUGAGUUAGUUCCAGAAAGGAGUUACUGUAUUUUCUGGAAUGAGUAUUGUGAAAUUCUUUUUUUUUUUUUUUUUUUACAGUGGGCAAGUUUUCAGCUGGUGAUUUAUCAACAAAGUAUUUUACAGGAUCAUAGUUAAAAGCUCUUAAAAAAAAUAUAUCCUGUGUGAUAGGGAAAGUAAAAGCAUCUCAGUUUCCAAAUGAUGAAGGAAUAACCGAAAGAGCUAGUUCUUGGAAUAGUAGCUCCACUGGCACUCGUUGGUGAUUUCCUGUGCAUUUGCUGCAAGAAUCACUCUGUGAUGUGAGUAGGUGGUACUAAAGGGUUAUUACGAAACCAAUUUUCAACCAGACGUUUUGAGUCAUGGAUUGGGAAGAGGGAUAGCAGCUUCAGAGCUUUCUCUUUGUUCGAGCAGUGCGCCUGAAAUGCACACGCAGGAUAUUCUGUGCUUGCAUGGAACAAGGCAGACUGGGAAUAGGUCUGUAUUACGUGAGUGCUCUUCUUCAUGCCACUCCAUCUCGGGGAUGGGAAACGAGAACGUGGGCUGAGAGCCGGCAGCAGCGUGCAAGGUGCACAAGGAGCCGUUUCCUGACUGUCUUUCAAUUCGUAAGUAUUUUCUCGUGGUUUUUUUCCCAGACGUGAGAGACAAAAUGGAGUUGUGUCAGGACGGAUGUCUGCGCCAAAACGAGGUGGUGGUUUGGAGCAGUUUGGUUCUGUUCUGGAAGCAGAUGGGCUGCCACUGGCAGGAGACAGUUGGCUUCUCCAUCAGAAAAAAGAAAAAAAUAGAGGGGUGUUUAAGGGAAUUGGUCUGGCUCCUAAACCGAAGGAAUUGUUGACCUACUGACUCAGUUAUGAAGCAUUAGGGAAGCAGUCUUAUUGUGGUUUCUUUUGUUGGUGGCAGAUUCAGAAGACGUCCGUGAGCGUACGGGUAUGACUAGCAAAGGAGAGACGGUUCUAGUACCUGCUGCCUGUGGGAUUUAUUUUGUGCCAGGAAGGAGCUGAGGUGCUGACUACUAAGUAACACCUAAACUUUAUUUCUGAUGCUUCUCCCGAUAAUGCAUUGCUAUCCAAAUGCAGAGUUUGCAGCUGAAGUUUGCAUACAAAAUGAUGAGUUCAAAAUUGGACCUGGAAAAGAGGAAGGCUUCCUCUUCUGUUGCUCUACUAGAAUGGAGAGCUACCCACAACUCUAAUUACUGCACGCCUGCCAUUCAGAUCAGGCUCUCUACUGGCAACGUAAUGCACAACUUUGAACGAGAGUGGCAUGGCAUAGCUACAACAUCCAGCUACAAGGACCUCCUUUUAAUUGAACACUUUGAUUAUCACACAAUAAUCAGAUGAUUGAGUUGCUACAAAAGUUUGCCAGCCCUCUGCUAAGCGCUCCUAUGGAAUUACAGAAUCAUAGAUGUUAGAGAUGGAAAGUGCAUUAGAUCAUCCAGACCGACUUCUUGCCAGUACAUGUUUUCUGCUACAUUUUUGGUUUGGAUUUUUUUUUCUUUCCCCUGCAGUUUAUGGCUAGAGAUACUCUAAGAACUUGGCCUUCCACUAUGAUCUUCUGGAGUCUUUUCCACAAAGUUUGAUGGUGAUACUUUUCUUUGCCUGCUAUUUGGCCUAAUUUUUUCCAUUUAUUUGUUUCACCGUAUUAUUUCAAGUCUAUGUUCUCAUCUUCCAAUAGUUCUUCUCUCUGUGGUGUUAACAGCCUGUAAAUAUGCGUGGAAUAGUAUUACAUGCUCUUGAAUAUUAGAUGUAUCACUUAAACCUUAAGUGCUGCAUGUUCAGUUCUUCAGGAUUUGGGAAAUUAUACUGAUUGAAGAUAGGUUUUAAACUGAACUGCUAAUAGCAUAAUUUCUCAAGAUGCAUAUUUUAUUCCAGCGUAAGAGUGGUCUGUUCUGGUGUCACUUGAGAAAUUAUUGAAAAUACCUGAAAAGGCCAAUUUUACUGGGAAAUGAAAAUGUUUUUAUAUGGGGGAGUUAUGCCAGUGUAAUUUAAGUGAUUUUUAACUCUAUUGUGGCAUUUAAAUUGCGGGGAAGCGUUGCAUGCAAGCAAGUAUGCAGAGGGCAUUACAGGGAAAAUGAAAAAAUACCAUUGUCCAUUAGUGACAGAAAUAGUGGAAGUUGUAAUGUAGUUAUUUUAGCCUUCACCCCCACACCAGCUUUCCAUUAUCCGAUCUUCUCAGACUUUCUUCACUUAAUAAGUAUUGUUUCUUUUCAUAGUUUCACUUUUUUUGAUGGGAUUUGGGGGUUGCUUGUUUGUUUUUUCUUCUUCAGGGUUUGGUCUUCGUUACCAGAAGCCUCGGGCACCCAAGCAGGCUUAUCUCCAAAGUUUUCCCUUGUCUUGACCACAAAGAGCUAGAUCAAGAUCAAUAUCCCCCCGAAACAAAUACUCCGUGGCCAAAAAGAGGACCAAUGGGCAUUGUUUUUGCUGUCACCCUAUGAGAGACAGGCUGGUUCGUGUGAGCUGGUUUGUGGCUACAGAGCUGCCUACGGUCACAGUCCAGCACUUUUACCCCGGACCUCCGCUGGUUUUGGGAGCAUUACUGCCAUUUUUCCUUUCAGAACACCCCAAAGGAUGAGAGGAUUGUGUUGCAAGCCGCCAAAUGAAGGUUUUUUUGUAGGGUGAGGGCAAGGGUGUGCAUUGCAUGCCCGCCGGAGGCACGGCACACCUGGAAGCUGGCAAGGGCACGGCCAGCGCCAGCACUGUGCGGUCCUCAUCCCCACCAUCCGUCGCAUUGUGUUGGAAGAACUUGUUGAGAAGGGAUCCCAGGAGUGGGUUAGGAUUGGUGUGAUGUGGAGAGCUUAACCUCAUGGAGCCUCAUGGACCUUGGGAGCUUGGGGCAGUAAGCUGUCUUCCUUCAAGCCACUGGGAAGCUCGAUGCAGGGUAGGGAUGUAGAUGAAAGAGGCGAGGACAGACGUAUCAUAGGAGGUGAAAUUACUAUUAGUGAGUGGAUUGAAGGUGUUUGAGGAUCAGGUUGUGUAACUGAAUGGGGAGAUGAAUGAAAAACAUGUAAAUGGGUGGGUUACUGAGUGAGUAAGAGAAAAUGUGAGUAGGCGGGUAAUUAGACUGGCAAGUGAGAGAGGAGGUAGGAGUGGGUGAGUAGAUGGGUAGGUAUGUAGCAAAAAAGUUGGAAUGGCAUUGCAUGCCAACUCCGAGAAGAUACCUGAAGGACUGGUAACAGCCACUCCCCUCGAGAACAUGCAGAGAGGACUGACGGCCAGCGCUGUUACAGGCACUGCAGGGUGUGCAGGUGAGCAGGCAGACCCUCGAGACCUGUUGCUUUCCACUGCUCUGCGUCCAGCUCAUUGGAUGGCUCAUCAUUUUCUCUACCUAAACUUCAGUGUGUCUUCACACAGUAAACCAUAAUCUUCACUUUGGUCAGAUGGUGGCAUUUUGCUGGUGUUCCUGCAGAAAUACAUAAGACACUCAUUAUUAUUUGCUGGGUUUUUUGGCUCUAACAAAGUCAUAGAGAAAGGAGGUGAAGCACAACAGGCUUUUAGUCUGUCUGGAGCAUUGCAGUUUGCAGUGGGUAUUCCCAAGAGCUGAAAUGGCCCGAGAGCUGCAGGUGGAAGGACUUACCUGACAAAUAAAAGGUACGAAGAUGAGGGAUGCGCUGGAAUUAAAUGCACAACACGUCAGCAUAAAGGCAUCUCUCAAACUUGAAGAUCCUUUCAUUUUAAUGAAUGAGAAGGGAAGGUAAAGUAGACUUUUUAAAUCAUUAUCAAACCUUGACUGAUGGGGCUUUUAUUAGGAUCUUUUACCAUAACUGCUGUAAGGCUGGACAUAGUUCACCAUGACUAACACGUAACUGUUUUUCAUUUACUGUGGCAGAGUUACAACCCCAGCUGUGACCUCUCUGUAGUCAGGUACAGACAGGCUAUUGUUUAAGGUAAUGGCUCUACUAUCCUGUUCAGUUAUAUUAAGUUGUGCACAGUACAUUUUCAGUAUUUAUUGUAACAGAGCAAGUCCUUUUGAAGCCCACGUGGAGGUGAAUGAGUACUGCAGGAAGUUACAGGCUUUAUCUUAACCGCCAAAAAGGUGUGUAUUUACUAAGGAAUAACUUAAUAUGCAGUGUCGGACUGAAAAAUCCUACUAGAGACCAGUCCCUGCAGGUCCGUCAUCCAGUACCUAGGUACGGUGGGAAUUUUCCCUUGCUGGACCUACUUUUUGAUGAAAACUACAUUGCUUUGUCUGCACGUGGAUUUGACAGCAGGAUGAAGACCCAGUAUAUGGAGCAGCCUGCUGCGAGGAGCACUUUAACCCCACGCUCGCUGUUGCGUACCCAUCAGUGGUUUCAGCGCAGGUUGCAUCAGUCAGGAUGAUUGCACACGUCGUGCUCUGGAAGCAGUUCUGGGAAGAAGAUGCCAACCCAGUGUUAACAGCAUGUGUAAUAACUCCUACCAGCUCUGUGGUUUUCACUCUGUUUUACUGCCAGGCAGAAGUCUGUAACACUGGGUUACACGGGUGUCUGGAAAAUCUGUCAGGGUUUUGGUAACUUUUAAAAGUAUCCCUAACCAGUGAGUGAAAUCUUUGUCAUUUUGAACGUGGCCACCUGUUGCAAACUAAAUUUCCUACAAAGCUUGGAACUGUAGCUGAGCCAGCUCAUACAGUAGUUAGUAUUUACUCAUUUUUUAUCUGAGACAAAUCCAGAAAUUUUGCUGUGCUUAGGCAGAUGUUUCUUUCCAUUAGAAAGGAACAAAUCUCUCGCUGAUGUUCAAAUGCUGUAGUAACUGUGUGAAGUAAGCUACAGAGGAACAUGUGGGUAUGUUUAAUAAGCCUGUUGGGUUGUAGAUCUGUCAAGCCCCAAAUUUGCAUUUCUUACAUAAGCAGAAAUCCUGGUAGUGUUUACAGAUGAUUUGUCUGUGCUUUAGGAACUGCAGGAAUUGAAUUGCUGUGUCAAAAACACUGCUCUUAGUUGCCAUCUGUGGGAUUGCACAGGCACUAUUAAAACAUUUACAAUUGCAAUCCUAACUAGAAGUUUGUUUGUUGUUACACUUGAUAUUAAAACUUACCACAACAAUCGUAAGAGCAGCAUGCGACCUCGAUGGAAGCACGGACAGUUGUAAGAUUCUGAGAAUACACAGCAGUAAAAACCUUGAAGUUUCCCUUCUGUUUAAUUAAUUGUUGUUUUUGCUGGUGACAAGGUUACAAAGUAUUUGUAAUAACUAUGCUUAGUCUUUUGCCAUUUUUUUCCAUAUGGGUGUGUGCUUCCUUUUCAUAAUGUUGUUUUUCUUUCCUUUUUUUUUUUUUUAAACACAGCCACUCCUUUCAUUUUAAGAAUAAGAAUCAAGCUUCUUGCAGAGCAGAAAAAAAAAGUUUCAUAAACAUUGCGAUUCUGAUCCUUCUAAUCCUUUACUACCUGUAGGGGCAGGUGCAGGAAGCUGCUAUGGGAGAGCAGGUUUACUAACUUUUUUGUGGCUUGGGUUUACACAAAGGAGCAGUAUAUUUUAGAAGCUACAGAGAAAAUUCAGAACAGCAUGGUCGAAAGGUGCGUUGCUCAGAAAUGCAUCCCUUUUGCUUGGCUUAUUCCACUUCAAUUCUGCCCCGGAGAGUUCUGAGCCCUUCAGCUAGCAUUUUAAACAACAAAAUUGAAAUAGGCUGCCUGAAGUCUAUGCAUAUUAUCUUAUUUGUUUCCUGCUGUUGUAAAAUAGAUUUUAUUUCUGGAGAUACUAUCUUCUAAUACUUUCAUUACCCAGACCUUUUCUGUUUGUUUGUUGCUCAAGAGAAAGUGAAGGGAACCACUCGCUUUAUCUCAGUAAAAAGAAAGCAAUUAAUGCUGUUAGCUGUAUUGACUGUGUAAUGCUGAGAUAGCGUCUGUAGGAAAACAACCAGACAGCUUAAAGAAGAAGUAAGAUUUUUAUUUUUUUUUUUUAGCAUGCUGAAACCGUUUACAAGGCUGAAAUGGGGGCAGGGCAAGGAGGGUGGUAAAAAAUACAUCACCCAUCCCUUGUGAUUCUGUGGUUUUGUCUGAAUCUUUUUUUUUUUUUUCUCCUUACGAUCAGCCAUGCGUUUCAAUUGUGAUUGCUGUCCUAAGACUGUAGCUGUAUGCAAGAUGUCUAAUAUUAAAAAUAUGUGUGUGUAAUAACAUUUUUAUAAUGCUUCCCAUCUGGAAGAUAUGUCACACACCUCUACAUUAAGAUUUACAGCAUCCUUUUUACAUCUUGCUGUGUUCUGUGCAUGGAGACCCCUGUACAUGGGCUCGUUAGUGUACAGUUCUAGUCUGAAAAAGAGUUCAAAGCAGCUUAUUAUUUAUUGCCAGAAAUAAGUUUUCACUAUUCGUCUGUCUUGGUCGGUCUAGUAGAGCCAAUCCAUUUGUGAGAGAGUAAUUUGUCUGCUUUAAAAAGUUACGGUUCAUUUACUAGAAGAAAUGCUAACCAGCUAACACAUAGGAAGGGAUCUGAGGACUUUCUUCCUCUGAUUGUGCAGGAGAUGCCUGGAAGCUUUAAGAUUUUGGUCUGAAAUUUUAUGUGCGGACCAAGUCAUAGGGUGUGAAUCCCUUUCAAAAACUGUCUCAAAAUGGUACAUUUGUUAGAAAGUAUAUACAGGUAAUUGUUGUACUGCCAUUUAUAUUAGCAAGGCUACAUUCUUUCUUGAAUGAAGUUAUAAAAUUGUGUCAAAGCAUGGGAGAGCUCCAAUAUGACAUAACUGGAGAGUAACCUUUUCAUUGUCAAAAUUUAUACCAGAGGUAUUGUUGUGUAAGCAGUAUUACAAAAAAAAGGAAGAAAAAGUCAUGCUUUAUUGCUAGCAUGACUUUGGAAAAGGGACAGUGAAUUGCUGGUAUGUAGGAAAGCGAGCUUCUAAGCUGCCUGUGCACUUCAGAGGUAUUUGCUUAUAUUUGCUGAUAUAUACUGAUUAGUACAUUUCCAAUUUAAGUGUACAACUAUCCUUGAAAAGGCCAGAUUUUCAAAGUGCCGGACGGCAGACUGCACCUAUGUGUUUAAUCCCAGCUGGUGGUAGCGUCUUCUGGAUGCUGAGUGCUCGGAAAAUUUCACUUCUGAUUUGGGUAAUUGAUUCAAAGUUGAGUUUUUCCCAGAGCCUGGCAUGAUCCAUAGUCAGUAGUGUAGUUGUAGGAGAAAACAGUCCAAAUCUGCUGUCUCCCAGACUUGUUCUCUGAACUGUUAUAAAAUGGUUUAUUUUCAAAUUGUUUUUAAAGCACGACGAUGCAAAUUUGAAUACUCUCUGCAAAUUUGACCUGUAUUUAUAUCUGCAUGUUUGGAAGAAGCCCAUAAAAUUAUUUCCAUAUUGUUUUCAGUAAAUCUCCAGUUUAUUAUUCUGAGAAAAUUUGAUGCAUCUGCAGUGUGCACGAUCUGGCUUUCUGAUAUGCAGAUGCACAGCCUUGCAUAUCUAGUCAAAUCAGUGUAGCAACUGCUUUUACAAACUACGUGACAAUGUACAACCUCCUAUCUGAGAACCAGAUCAGAUUAAAAUUGGGACUCGGUCCAAAAAAUAAAAUACUGCAAUCAAUCUACUUA